CCAGACUCCUACGGGAGGCAGCAGUGAGGAAUAUUGGUCAAUGGGCGGAAGCCUGAACCAGCCAAGUCGCGUGAGGGAUUAAGGCCCUAUGGGUCGUAAACCUCUUUUGUCAGGGAGCAAUGGCGUCCACGUGUGGGCGUAUGGAGAGUACCUGAAGAAAAAGCAUCGGCUAACUCCGUGCCAGCAGCCGCGGUAAUACGGAGGAUGCGAGCGUUAUCCGGAUUUAUUGGGUUUAAAGGGUGCGUAGGCGGAACAUUAAGUCAGCGGUAAAAUCGAGGGGCUCAACCCCUUUAAGCCGUUGAAACUGGUGAUCUUGAGUGGGCGAGAAGUAUGCGGAAUGCGUGGUGUAGCGGUGAAAUGCAUAGAUAUCACGCAGAACUCCGAUUGCGAAGGCAGCAUACCGGCGCCCAACUGACGCUGAAGCACGAAAGCGUGGGUAUCGAACAGGAUUAGAUACCCCUGUA
rnacentral:rRNA from 1 species